rnacentral:rRNA from 1 species
AGCGAACGCUGGCGGCAGGCUUAACACAUGCAAGUCGAACGCCCCGCAAGGGGAGUGGCAGACGGGUGAGUAACGCGUGGGAAUCUACCCAUCUCUACGGAACAACUCCGGGAAACUGGAGCUAAUACCGUAUACGCCCUUAGGGGGAAAGAUUUAUCGGGGAUGGAUGAGCCCGCGUUGGAUUAGCUAGUUGGUGGGGUAAAGGCCUACCAAGGCGACGAUCCAUAGCUGGUCUGAGAGGAUGAUCAGCCACAUUGGGACUGAGACACGGCCCAAACUCCUACGGGAGGCAGCAGUGGGGAAUAUUGGACAAUGGGCGCAAGCCUGAUCCAGCCAUGCCGCGUGAGUGAUGAAGGCCUUAGGGUUGUAAAGCUCUUUCACCGAUGAAGAUAAUGACGGUAGUCGGAGAAGAAGCCCCGGCUAACUUCGUGCCAGCCGCCGCAGUAACAC